CCCUUAGAUGUUCUGGGCCGCACGCGUGCUACACUGAGUGGAUCAGCGGGUCAGGUUGCGCGAAAGCGUUUCCUAAUCUUUAAAUCCGCUCGUGAUGGGGAUUGACGGUUGCAAUUUUCUGUCAUGAACGAGGAAUACCUUGUAAGCGCGGGUCAUCAUCCCGCGCUGAAUACGUCCCUGCCCUUUGUACACACCGCCCGUCGCUCCUACCGAUUGAGUGGUCCGGUGAGGCUUUGGGAUCUGAGCGGAAAGAGCGUUUCGCUGUUUCUGCUCGGAAAACUCAGUCGAACCUUAUCAUUUAGAGGAAGGAGAAGUCGGAACA
rnacentral:rRNA from 1 species